GACGAACGCUGGCGGCGCGCUUAACACAUGCAAGUCGUGCGAUACCUCGAGCGAGUCUUACGACAAGCUCAAGGUAGAGCGGCGGAUGGGUGAGUAACACGUGAGUAGCUGUCCUAAGGAGGGGGAUAACGCCUGGAAACGGGUGCUAAAACCCCAUAUGCCUCGCAAGAGGUGAAAGUGUAUUACUGCAGCCUUAGGGUGUGCUCACGGCCUAUCAGCUAGUUGGUGAGGUAAUGGCUCACCAAGGCUAAGACGGGUAGCCGGCCUGAGAGGGUGUACGGCCACACUGGAAUUGAGAUACGGUCCAGACUCCUACGGGAGGCAGCAGUGGGGAAUCUUGGGCAAUGGGCGAAAGCCUGACCCAGCGACGCCGCGUUGGGGAUGAAGCCCUUCGGGGUGUAAACCCAUGUUGUAGGGGACGAAGAAAGUGACGGUACCCUACGAGGAAGCCCCGGCUAACUACGUGCCAGCAGCCGCGGUAAGACGUAGGGGGCGAGCGUUGUCCGGAAUUACUGGGCGUAAAGGGCACGCAGGCGGUGCGCCAAGUCGAGGGUGUAAAGUUACGGCUCAACCGUGACAUUGCAAUCGAUACUGGCGCGCUGGAGUGCGGGAGAGGGAAGUGGAAUUCCCGGUGUAGCGGUGAAAUGCGUAGAUAUCGGGAGGAACGCCAGUGGCGAAGGCGGCUUCCUGGCCCGCGACUGACGCUCAUGUGCGAAAGCCAGGGGAGCGAACC
rnacentral:rRNA from 1 species